AUUAUUUCUGUUGAUAUGUUUCUCACUAAACUUGGUCAAACUAAACAAUGUUUGACUUCCAAAAAAAUAUGCACACUGCACUUAGGAAUAGAGGGAGUACAGUCAAUAUCUAUCUUUAUUGUGUUUUUUUCUUUAUUAACAAUUUAAAAUGUUUUGCGUUGAAUUAAGUAUCUAUUUUGCCUUAGUUAGAAUGCACAACAAGUAUCCCCGCAAAAAAGAAAAAAGAAAGCACAUCCAGUAGUAAUUGUACAACCAUCAGUCAGAGCUUCAAGAUAGUUGUCAUCUAAACCUUUGUUCGGCAGCCAAUGAUAGGUUGUUCAAUAAUCAUGUGAAAACCUCUGUGCAAUUCCAUCUAAUGUAUUCAUUCCUCCUUGGACCGACCUUCACUACACAUGAACCAGAAAGAAUGCCAAUGCUGCCCAAACGGUUAUGAAUGGAAUGGUAAGUGAUGCCGACAGUCGAUGAGAAUCGUUCGGCAGCCAUGGGUACGCAUCUGGAGGCGGCAUCACGCAGUUCUCGCCGUUGAAGUACACUCGCCUCGGAAACGCCCAUCCUUUCUGGAAGGUGAAGGUUGCCGGGUCCUUCCGGAACAAAAGCUCAGACUGAACAUUUCCAUUAUGCUGGGCAGUCAUGAGCAGGUCAUUGUAGUACUUGAUGCCCCACAUCAUCCCGGUGUCGUCUGCGACAAGAGAGCAAUAACUUGUCAGUAGCUGGAACAUGAACAUUUUUUUUUUCUAACUCUGCAUCAUCAGAAUGAUGCAUGGAGACAAAUAUACAUUGCAUAAUGUAUAAGUUUUCAGGGGAAGAUGAUUGAAGCAAAGCCCUCACUUAUUGUUCCAUAAGGGUUCAGAUCUUUGUAUCUGAAGCUGAAGAUAGUGGUCAGGUUGUUGAAGUUCGGGUGCUGCGCGACGAGGUUCCACUGCGAGUAGUUCAUCAGGUAGUUGAGGUUUGUCGCCGUGAUCUUCACCCUCCAGU
rnacentral:lncRNA from 1 species